CGCACCUCAUCCGCUGCAGGUCCCACAAAGGCCAAUUCUUCUAUGGCCUCUCGCUGCUAGGGGAUGAGGAGAGGGAGGAGGUGCUGCGGGGCACAAGAGGAGUGGCUCCAUGGACGAGGCUCCGCUGCCGAGCUCAGUCGCGACCUCGGGCGGCUCCGUGCAGGGGAAAGGUGCUCAGCCGCGAGCAUCAGCCCGAGGUGCUCGCGAGUCCGAGGACACCUUGUACUGCAUCGCCCCCGCACGCUGUGACCUCUACUUCGCAAUCUCUCAUUACAGUGGAGCUGCUCCGCCUCAUCAUACUACAAGGAGUGCCCCUUUAUCCCCUCCACCGCCACUCAUGUUCUACGUGUCCAAGCCGAGCAAUGCCGCUUCGUGCGCUCGGAGCAGCAGCGUGAGCCGGCAUGACAAGCUGUAGCUGCACACGCUCAGCUUCGGCUCCGCCAAGGCCACCUUCUGCGGCAGCCGUGCCAGCUUGCUUGAUUAGUGAUUUUGUGAUUUUGUUCUACGGGAAGAUGCAAGAACCUGCGGCAGUCCCUUCCUAUUCUUCAUCUUCCCCUUUCUUGCUUCUUGAUCUUUUAAUUUUUGUUUGAACCAUCAAGAAAAUGAUCUGCGUUUUGUUCUCGGAGGUAUGAUGUACUGGUCAAUUUCGUCGUUUCAUGCUCCACCAUAUUGCAUCUUGUGAGCUUAUGUAUUGGGGUUAAUUUUGCGCAUAAUUUGGUGGGUUGUACUGACUUGUACAUAUAUACGUGGAAACAAUGAUGAGAUUCAAAUGAUUUAUGUGCAAAUUUCAGC